UCUCAACUCUCAUAGAAACCAUUGUGAUCACAGAGAGUAGUAUAUAGAUAUCUGUAGCCUGUAGGUAAAACUCCAAUGGAGGAGAAUGGAGAAAUUCUCAUAUUCUCAAACAAGAAGAGAAUUAAAAAGCAGCAUGAACAGAAAAGUUUGUGCUCACAGCGAAUCAGCGAAUUACCAGAUUUCCACAGUAUGAUUCACCUUCAAUUUACGAGGAUAUUCCUGGAAGCAGCUGGAUAGGAAUGGGCAAUCAAUGGGAUUUGUCCGUCAUGACAUCCAGCCAAGAGAAAUUAGAAAAAUCCACUUUCCUUGAAAAAGACAUAAGAAAUCUGGAACUAGAUUUUUCCAAAGGAAAAGGAUUUGAGCUUACUAAGCAGAUCAGAAAUGUGGAGUGACGCAUGCUGAUAUUGCUUAACCGCUGGUUGGAUGUUUAUCACUGCUCAAGAUACACCAAUUAAGAAGACUCAAUUACACCAAGCAAAAACAAACUGAUGUGCUGAUGUCUUCCUGAAGGUCAUAUGAAGUGGCAGAACAAAAUCAGAUAAUGUGUAUUUCUUCAAACCAUUGAUUGUACAUGUCACGUGUCGCUUACAAGUCAGAUUAGUGAUUUACCAGAUGUCUGUUAUUAUUUUUCAUUGCAAUUUGUAGUUUUGCUAUCUCUUUACUUAUUAUGAAGAAAUCAACAAUUAAUGCUGAGUUGUAUUUAGAAAGGAAGAUUGUGUUUUGCACUUUGUAUAUUAAAUCUUGAAUUA